rnacentral:misc_RNA from 1 species
UGUGGGAGCUGGCUUGCCUGCGAUACAGGCGACUCGGUGUUUCUGAUGCACCGAGGUGAUGCCAUCGCAGGCAAGCCAGCUCCCACA